CCUACGGGAGGCAGCAGUGGGGAAUCUUGCGCAAUGGGCGAAAGCCUGACGCAGCAACGCCGCGUGCGGGAAGAAGGCUUUCGGGCUGUAAACCGCUUUCAGCAGGAACGAAAAUGACGGUACCUGCAGAAGAAGGAGCGGCCAACUAUGUGCCAGCAGCCGCGGUGAUACAUAGGCUUCAAGCGUUGUCCGGAUUUAUUGGGCGUAAAGAGUUCGUAGGCGGUCAAGUAAGUCGGGUGUGAAAAUUCUGGGCUCAACCCAGAGACGCCACCCGAUACUGCUUAACUUGAGUUCGAUAGGGGAGUGGGGAAUUCCUAGUGUAGCGGUGAAAUGCGCAGAUAUUAGGAGGAACACCGGUGGCGAAGGCGCCACUCUGGAUCGAUACUGACGCUGAGGAACGAAAGCAUGGGUAGCAAACAGGAUUAGAUACCCUGGUAGUCCAUGCCGUAAACGGUGGGCACUAGGUGUGGGUUUCUAUUAACGAAAUCCGCGCCGUCGCUAACGCAUUAAGUGCCCCGCCUGGGGGAGGUACGGUCGCGAGACGUAAACGUACAAUAGAAGUUAAGUACGGCGUUGAGUACGUUGCCGAACGGACGACCGACGAGGGAGGUUAGG
rnacentral:rRNA from 1 species